UAGAACUGCCACCUCCUGUUUACAAUGGGCUGGAGCAGUCACAGAAUUGUCAGGGCUACUUUCUGUCUCGGUGUGAUUGGAAAUAAGACAGAAAACGGUACCUUAGCAAGAAGAUGUGCAUAUGCCUCUAAAGUUGGGUUUUCAAGAGACAAAAGAAACACAAACAAGAAACAUGGGUACUCACCAUGUUCUUAUAAUACCAGCUAAGUGGGCUUUGACGUAUGCUGAGAUCAGAGAGCAAGAUGCAUGCUGCAUCAUGGGACCAAGGAUCUUAUGAGGAUAUUUGGUAUCUUUAAAAUAUACCAUCUGCAUGUGAUUUAAGUCACUCUCCAAGGUGCAGCCCUUCUGCUUACUUAUUCUGUGUUUUUUAUUGAAAGGCUGACUUGUAUGUGCAAGCAUCAGUGUGUGGAAACAGUGAUGACUUAAGGGCUAUUGUCUAGAGACUUCUAAGGGGUUUUUGCAGCCUGUACAAGUCCCCUUUUUCCUUCAUGGUCCAACUAGAAGUGCUUAGAUUUUUAGUUUCAGAAGUUUCUGCUUUGAUGCUGGUGGUGACUGUGCAUCCAUCGCCAUCAUGCACACUGGAUGUGUAACAUUUAAAGGGAUUGAACUUUGACAAUACUGUUUCCUUAGGUCUCACAAUGGUGUAUAUAAAACACCAUAUA